UUAAAUUGAAGAGUUUGAUCAUGGCUCAGAUUGAACGCUGGCGGCAGGCCUAACACAUGCAAGUCGAACGGUAACAGGAAGCAGCUUGCUGCUUUGCUGACGAGUGGCGGACGGGUGAGUAAUGUCUGGGAAACUGCCUGAUGGAGGGGGAUAACUACUGGAAACGGUAGCUAAUACCGCAUAACGUCGCAAGACCAAAGAGGGGGACCUUCGGGCCUCUUGCCAUCGGAUGUGCCCAGAUGGGAUUAGCUUGUUGGUGGGGUAACGGCUCACCAAGGCGACGAUCCCUAGCUGGUCUGAGAGGAUGACCAGCCACACUGGAACUGAGACACGGUCCAGACUCCUACGGGAGGCAGCAGUGGGGAAUAUUGCACAAUGGGCGCAAGCCUGAUGCAGCCAUGCCGCGUGUAUGAAGAAGGCCUUCGGGUUGUAAAGUACUUUCAGCGGGGAGGAAGGGAGUAAAGUUAAUACCUUUACUCAUUGACGUUACCCGCAGAAGAAGCACCGGCUAACUCCGUGCCAGCAGCCGCGGUAAUACGGAGGGUGCAAGCGUUAAUCGGAAUUACUGGGCGUAAAGCGCACGCAGGCGGUUUGUUAAGUCAGAUGUGAAAUCCCCGGGCUCAACCUGGGAACUGCAUCUGAUACUGGCAAGCUUGAGUCUCGUAGAGGGGGGUAGAAUUCCAGGUGUAGCGGUGAAAUGCGUAGAGAUCUGGAGGAAUACCGGUGGCGAAGGCGGCCCCCUGGACGAAGACUGACGCUCAGGUGCGAAAGCGUGGGGAGCAAACAGGAUUAGAUACCCUGGUAGUCCACGCCGUAAACGAUGUCGACUUGGAGGUUGUGCCCUUGAGGCGUGGCUUCCGGAGCUAACGCGUUAAGUCGACCGCCUGGGGAGUACGGCCGCAAGGUUAAAACUCAAAUGAAUUGACGGGGGCCCGCACAAGCGGUGGAGCAUGUGGUUUAAUUCGAUGCAACGCGAAGAACCUUACCUGGUCUUGACAUCCACGGAAGUUUUCAGAGAUGAGAAUGUGCCUUCGGGAACCGUGAGACAGGUGCUGCAUGGCUGUCGUCAGCUCGUGUUGUGAAAUGUUGGGUUAAGUCCCGCAACGAGCGCAACCCUUAUCCUUUGUUGCCAGCGGUCCGGCCGGGAACUCAAAGGAGACUGCCAGUGAUAAACUGGAGGAAGGUGGGGAUGACGUCAAGUCAUCAUGGCCCUUACGACCAGGGCUACACACGUGCUACAAUGGCGCAUACAAAGAGAAGCGACCUCGCGAGAGCAAGCGGACCUCAUAAAGUGCGUCGUAGUCCGGAUUGGAGUCUGCAACUCGACUCCAUGAAGUCGGAAUCGCUAGUAAUCGUGGAUCAGAAUGCCACGGUGAAUACGUUCCCGGGCCUUGUACACACCGCCCGUCACACCAUGGGAGUGGGUUGCAAAAGAAGUAGGUAGCUUAACCUUCGGGAGGGCGCUUACCACUUUGUGAUUCAUGACUGGGGUGAAGUCGUAACAAGGUAACCGUAGGGGAACCUGCGGUUGGAUCACCUCCUUACCUUAAAGAA
rnacentral:rRNA from 1 species